rnacentral:tRNA from 1 species
GAGGGUAUAGCUCAGUGGUAGAGCACAUGCUUAGUAUGCAGGAGGUCCUGGGUUCAAUUCCCAGUACCUCUA